AGCGAACGCUGGCGGCGUGCUUAACACAUGCAAGUCGAGUGCGCAGUCCGCUGUAGCAAUACAGUAGGCAGGCGCACGGCGCACGGGUGCGUAACACGUGGGCAACCUGCCCUCCAAAGGGGGAUAACCCGCCGAAAGGCGGGCUAAUACCGCAUGAUAUUCCGGUGGCUUCGGCCGCCGGAAUCAAAGUCGCAAGACGU
rnacentral:rRNA from 1 species